UCCUCGUUUAGACGAGGCAGUCUGUCCAGAGUGCUUCGAACUCUCGUUCGAGUGGCAACAGGACACAAGGGUUGCGCUCGUUGCGGGACUUAACCCAACAUCUCACGACACGAGCUGACGACAGCCAUGCAGCACCUUGCUUUGAGUCUGGGUUUUACCCCAGAAGAACCUGUUUUGCAGGUUCGUCUCGCGCAUUCUAGCCCAGGUAAGGUUCUUCGCGUUGCGUCGAAUUAAACCACAUGCUCCACCGCUUGUGCGGGCCCCCGUCAAUUCCUUUGAGUUUCAGUCUUGCGACCGUACUCCCCAGGCGGAUGACUUAACGCGUUAGCUCCGGCACAUCGGGACUAAAACCCGACACACCAAGUCAUCAUCGUUUAAGGCUAGGACUAC
rnacentral:misc_RNA from 1 species